AUUAAUCCGUGAUAGGUCAUCUCAUCUGGAAGGAGAGAUGGCUUAAAGGGAUGUAUGGGCUUCCUCCGUGCAUUCGCUCUAGGAUGGGACUGCGUCCGAUCAGGCUGUUGGCGGGGUAAUGGCCCACCAAACCUGUAACCGGUACGGGCCUUGAGAGAGGUGGCCCGGAGAUGGACACUGAGAGAAGGGUCCAGGUCCUACGGGGCGCAGCAGGCGCGAAACCUUCGCAAUGCGCGAAAGCGUGACGAGGUUAAUCCGAGUGGUCCCCGCUGAGGGGAUCCUUUGUCAGCUGUAAAUAGGCAGGCGAAUAAGGGGAGGGCAAGCCUGGUGUCAGCCGCCGCGGUAAUACCAGCUCCUCGAGUGGUCGGGGCGAUUAUUGGGCCUAAAGCAUCCGUAGCCGGUUCCGUAGGUCCUCUGUUAAAUCCAACCGCUUAACGGUUGACCUGCAGAGGAUACCGCGGGACUAGGAGGCGGGAGAGGCGGACGGUACUCCGCGUGUAGGGGUAAAAUCCUUUGAUCCGC
rnacentral:rRNA from 1 species